GAAAUGCGAUAAGUAAUGUGAAUUGCAGAAUUCAGGGAAGCAUCGAAUCUGUGAACGCACAUUGCGCCCGCCAGCACUCUGGCUGGCAUGCCUGUUCGAGCGUCAUUUCAACCAUCAAGCCCCCGGGCUUGCGUUGGGGACCUGCGGCUGCCCGCAGGCACUGAAAACCAGUGGCGGGCUCGCUGUCACCCCGGUCGUAGUAGUAUCAUCUCGUCCAGGGCGUGGCUGCGGGGUGCGGCGGUUAAACCUUCUCAACCCCAAAGGUUGACCUCGGAUCAGGUAGGCAUACCCGCUGAACUUAA
rnacentral:misc_RNA from 1 species